UAACGACUCUCGGCAACGGAUAUCUCGGCUCUCGCAUCGAUGAAGAACGUAGCGAACUGCGAUACUUGGUGUGAAUUGCAGAAUCCCGUGAACCAUCGAGUCUUUGAACGCAAGUUGCGCCCGAAGCCAUUUGGUCGAGGGCACGUUUGCCUGGGUGUCA
rnacentral:rRNA from 9 species